rnacentral:rRNA from 1 species
ACGAACGCUGGCGGCGUGCUUAACACAUGCAAGUCGAACGGAAAGGCCCUGCUUUUGUGGGGUGCUCGAGUGGCGAACGGGUGAGUAACACGUGAGUAACCUGCCCUUGACUUUGGGAUAACUUCAGGAAACUGGGGCUAAUACCGGAUAGGAGCUCCUGCUGCAUGGUGGGGGUUGGAAAGUUUCGGCGGUUGGGGAUGGACUCGCGGCUUACCAGCUUGUUGGUUGGGUAGUGGCUUACCAAGGCUUUGACGGGUAGCCGGCCUGUGCGGGUGACCGGCCACAUUGGGACUGAGAUACGGCCCAGACUACUACGGGAGGCAGCAGUGGUGAAUAUUGCACAAUGGGCGGAAGCCUGAUGCAGCAACGCCGCGUGCGGGAUGACGGCCUUCGGGUUGUAAACCGCUUUCGCCUGUGACGAAGCGUGAGUGACGGUAAUGGGUAAAGAAGCACCGGCUAACUACGUG